UCCCAGAGAAUUUGAAGCUUACCCGAGCUUCUGAUUAAUUCAUGAAGUACAAUGGAAAAUCAUGGUUGAAUUUCUUAAUUAUGAGCCA